UACGAAGGGGGCUAGCGUUGCUCGGAAUCACUGGGCGUAAAGCGCACGUAGGCGGAUUGUUAAGUCAGGGGUGAAAUCCUGGAGCUCAACUCCAGAACUGCCUUUGAUACUGGCGAUCUCGAGUCCGGGAGAGGUGAGUGGAACUGCGAGUGUAGAGGUGAAAUUCGUAGAGAUCCGGAGGAAUACCAGUGGCGAAGGCGGCACGCUGGGCCAUAACUGACGCUAAGACUCGAAAGCAUGGGUAGCGAACGGG
rnacentral:rRNA from 1 species